CUUAAGCCAUGCAAGUGUAAGUUCACGCCACGCAUUAGAACGGGCGAAACCGCGAAUGGCUCAGGAACCGGACCUAAUCCUCGGGACCGUAAUCCUCCUCGGAGGCGAUGGAUAACUGUGGCAAUUCUAGAGYUAAUACAUGUGACACAGGCCGCGAUCGGUCGUCGCGCCGUGGUCGCCUCGCCUCGCAAGAGCGCGCUGGCACCCGCGACGGCCGUCUUGGGUCGCGGCGCUACAUAUUAGACUGAGACCGAUGCGCGAUUCCCGUCCUCCCUUCGGGUUGCUUUGUUGGGUCUCACGGCUCGGCUUUGUGGUUCGUCGGGGCUAAAGGUCGGCGCGCUCCGCUUUGGUGACUCUGGAUAACUCACUGGUCGAUCGCACGGGCUUCCACGCCCGGCGACGGGUCCCUCGAGGGUCCGCCCUAUCAACUGUCGACGGUCGGUUAAGUGCCUACCGUGGUUACUACGGGUAACGGGGAAUCGGGGUUCGAUUCCGGAGAGGGAGCAUGCGAAACGGCUACCACAUCCAAGGAAGGCAGCAGGCGCGCAAAUUACCCACUCCCGGCACGGGGAGGUAGUGACGAAAAAUAACGACGCGGGACUCUGUCGAGGCCCCGCGAUCGGAAUGAGUACACUUCAAAUCCGUUAACGAGGACCAACCGGAGGGCAAGUCUGGUGCCAGCAGCCGCGGUAAUUCCAGCUCCGGUAGCGUAUAUUAAAGUUGUUGCGGUUAAAAAGCUCGUAGUCCGAACUCGGGUUCGUGGUCGCUCACGCGGCCCCGGGGCGGCGGCGCCAUCGUCCAUCGUUGACUUUGGUCGUCCGUUCGCAUUCCCGGCCCUUUCCGCCGGUGUCAAUCGCUACAUAGACGGCCGCGGGUCGGCUGGUGGUAGGCGUGACUCUUGGGUUCGGUGUUGGGGGCCUUUYUGGGGUUUUUGSCCGGACAAAMGGGGSGGGCYCMCCCCCAAACUGCCAAAUYUGGUUUUUUUCCUCGNUNGGGUUUUCGGUGCCGCUCUCGGGAUCCGGGCUUUCGGGUCCCCUAUUGCUAAGUCCCUCGUGUUUGCCGUCGGUGAUUUCUCCUCCAAGGGUGCUCUUAACCGAGUGUCCGCGGCGGCCGGUACGUUCACUUUGAAAAAAUUAGAGUGCUCAGAGCGGGCUGUUCAAGCUUGCAUACGAUAAGCAUGGAAUGAUGGAAGAGGGCCUCGUCUACGUCUGUCGGUCUCCGUCUACGGCGAGGCAAUGAUCGAAGGGAGCGGUCGGGGCCACUCGUAUUGCGACGUUAGAGGUGAAAUUCUUGGAUCGUCGCAAGACGAACUGCAGCGAUGGCGUGUGGCAAGCACGUUUUCCUCGAUCAAGAGCGAAAGUCGGAGGUUCGAAGACGAUCAGAUACCGUCGUAGUUCCGACCGUAAACGAUGCCGACCGGCGAUCCGCCGGCGUUCGCUUCCAUGACCCGGCGGGUAGCCUGCGGGAAACCAGAGUUCGGUUCCGGGGGGAGUAUGGUUGCAAAGCUGAAACUUAAAGGAAUUGACGGAAGGGCACCACCAGGAGUGGAGCCUGCGGCUUAAUUUGACUCAACACGGGAAAACUCACCCGGUCCGGACACCGGUAGGAUUGACAGAUCGAUAGCUCUUUCUCGAUUCGGUGGGUGGUGGUGCAUGGCCGUUCUUAGUUGGUGGAGCGAUCCGUCUGGUUGAUUCCGAUAACGAACGAGACUCCGGCCUGCUAACUAGUGCGCCGAUGUCAGUGCGGCGUCGCAUCCCGGCGUCCKGKGGCGGGYUUUGGGUUGGGAAUUUUUGAUNGUUUUUCGGGGGUCCGGGUCGGUUUNUNNCNCNCUUUUUARAGGGGGGGGGGGGAAAAAGCCMCMCRAGGGGGAGCGAWAACGGGUUUGKGAUGCCCUUAAAUGUCCGGGGCCCCNCCCCCCCYNCNCUGGGGGUWUNNNCGGGGACUUCCCCCCGGCCCGARAGGGUCGGGAAACCUCUNAVCCCCCYCCCGNGANAGGGAUCGGGGCCUGUAACCMACCCCGUGAAMRAARAAUUCCCGGUGGGCGCGGGUCAAAACCCCGGGUCAAACACUUUCCUGCCCUUUUGACACCCCCCCCGUCCCUUAUACCAAUAAAACGGUCCGGGGAGGCUCUCGGAUUUGGCCCAAC
rnacentral:rRNA from 1 species